AUCUUCCACAAUGGGCGAAAGCCUGAUGGUGCAACGCCGCGUGCGUGUAGAAGGUUUUCGGCUCGUAAAACUCUGUUGUAAGGGAAGAACAAGUACAGUAGUAACUGGCUGUACCUUGACGUUACCUUAUUAGAAAGCCACGGCUAACUACUUGCCAGCAGCCGCGGUAAUACUCAGGUGGCAAGAGUUGUCCGGAAUUAUUGGGCGUAAAGCGCGCGCAGGCGGUCCUUUAAGUCUGAUGUGAAAGCCCACGGCUCAACCGUGGAGGGUCAUUGGAAACUGGGGGACUUGAGUGCAGAAGAGGAAAGUGGAAUUCCAAGUGUAGCGGUGAAAUGCGUAGAGAUUUGGAGGAACACCAGUGGCGAAGGCGACUUUCUGGUCUGUAACUGACGCUGAGGCGCGAAAGCGUGGGGAGCAAACAGG
rnacentral:rRNA from 1 species